UUCUCCCUGCGUCGCAGCCACUCCAGUCGCCGCCGAUCGCCGCUCCAGCCGCCGCCGUUCGCCACCAGGUAAUCAAUUUACCACAAUCCUUUGUUAGAUGUUUGAAUUUAGCCAUUGGAAGUAGGUUUAUUGUACUGACUAAUAUGGGGUUUUUUGUGUGCCAAAAUUAAUGAAUUUUUAUGUAUCUGAAUGUAUAACUUUUUGCCGUCUCUGAGAUCGAUGGAGCUUAAUGUUGCUGUUAUUGAUGGGAUAAAUCAUGUGUGAGCCAUUUUGUGUAAUUAAGGUCGAAAUGGGAUAUUUAAGUUCCAAGAGUACAAGUCUAAUUGGGAGUUGGUAAAGACAUGACUAUUUUGGUGACUCGGGAUGUAGGUAAAAGGAUAGUGUCUCGAGUUCCCCUUAUCCCCGGGAACGACAUUAGAGAUUGGAUAGUCUCAAGGAAAUCAUAGAGGAACAACUACGGUGAGUGGAAUACGACGGUCCAUUCGGUUUUUGGUCGUGCUCUGGUAGCUUGGUUCAAGUGUUUAGGUCAUUUUUAAAUUAUUGUUUAGCGAACUUCUCUUGUAGUCUCUUUGUUGAUUUCUUGGCUCGCCACUUUGAUGGUUAGAGCAUUUUUUCUAUUACAAAAGAACUAUUUAUAAAAGUGUACCUAUUAAACAACAUGCAUUUUUGUAUGCAA